rnacentral:tRNA from 1 species
GUCUCAAAAGCUCAGUGGUUAGAACGCUGGCAUGGUACGCCAGAGACCGUGGGUUCGAGUCCCGUUUGAGACU